rnacentral:rRNA from 1 species
CCUACGGGUGGCAGCAGUGAGGAAUAUUGGUCAAUGGGCGGGAGCCUGAACCAGCCAAGCCGCGUGAGGGGAGAAGGUACAGCGUAUCGUAAACCUCUUUUGUCAGGGAACAAAGGCGGGGACUAGUCCCCGGAUGAGGGUACCUGAAGAAAAAGCAUCGGCUAACUCCGUGCCAGCAGCCGCGGUAAUACGGAGGAUGCGAGCGUUAUCCGGAUUUAUUGGGUUUAAAGGGUGCGCAGGCGGCCUGUUAAGUCAGCGGUAAAAGCCCGGGGCUCAACCCCGGCGAGCCGUUGAAACUGGCGGGCUGGAGUUGGAGAGAAGUACGCGGAAUGCGCGGUGUAGCGGUGAAAUGCUUAGAUAUCGCGCAGAACCCCGAUUGCGAAGGCAGCUUGCUGGACGAUGACUGACGUUGAGGCUCGAAAGCGUGGGGAGCAAACAGGAUUAGAUACCCUUGUAGUC